GGACCCGCACAAGCAGCGGAGCAUGUGGUUUAAUUCGAAGCAACGCGAAGAACCUUACCAGGGCUUGACAUCCCUCUGACAGGUCGGUAAAACGACCCUCCUUCGGGCAGAGGUGACAGGUGGUGCAUGGUUGUCGUCAGCUCGUGUCGUGAGAUGUUGGGUUAAGUCCCGCAACGAGCGCAACCCUUGUCAUUAGUUGCCAUCAAGUUAAGUUGGGCACUCUAAUGAGACUGCCGGGGAUAACUCGGAGGAAGGUGGGGAUGACGUCAAAUCAUCAUGCCCCUUAUGUUCUGGGCUACACACGUGCUACAAUGGCUGGUACAAAGGAAGCAAUACCGCGAGGUGGAGCCAAUCAAAAAAACCAGUCCCAGUUCGGAUUGUAGGCUGCAAUUCGCCUACAUGAAGUCGGAGUUGCUAGUAAUCGUGAAUCAGAAUGUCACGGUGAAUGCG
rnacentral:rRNA from 2 species